AAAUACUAGUUCUGAGUGUUGACAUGUUAAUCCCAGAAACUCCGGAAAAGGCGGAAAUGGGUUGUUGAGCUGAAAGCGCGACUGAGCGAGCAGGAGCAGAGGAAACAGCUGAACACGAGCCUGGAGCUCAAGGACUCGCUGAAACGGUCAGGCGGGAAGAGUCGGUUCGCGCAACGGAAUCGAACGGGACCGUCACAGCAGGAAUGUUCCAGUCAUGUGAGGAGGACAAGAGAACCACCCAGCACGGUCACGUGACACCCCUCCUCCUCCUCCUCCUCGCGCGCUCCGGUGUUCUACAGAGCACGCGCACAUCACUACCAAAGCGUAAUUUUUAAAGGGGAGUUCCACCAAAAUGAAUAAACCUUUCUGAAAAAUU